UGAGACGAUCUGGCCCCUGGACGCAAACCGCCCCUGCGGAGGACGCGAAGACGUCAGGACGCUGAAGGGCCUCCGGCACCCGACACGCCAGUUCCCUGCAGCCUCUGCAUUUUGCUGCUGCAACGUGAACAGCCAACAGCAAUCUUGCACCUGCUAAGCUCUCUCAGGAGCCUCCCUCCACCUCGGCCUACGCCACCCUGCCUGGCUGCUUUUAAUCCUCUCCAGGCCAUUGUGACCUGUCACCAUCACACAUUCCUUUGUCCUUGUUCCCCAAUAGCCUCCCUCGCGGGCCAAGGACACCAUCUUCUUGCCAAACGCUACACCGCCCUGCCGCAGACCGGCGACGCUGCGGAGGGAUUUGUGAGCCCUGAGUCAAUUCUGCCAAGGCUGUAGGAGGAGGUGGAUAUAAAUGGAACUCGUAGAUGUGUCACAUACUGGGGUGCACCACGAGAAGCAGGCUUACUGCCAGUCACACGUCCAUCAGUUAGGUCAGGGUUGGUUGAGGCUGGAGGAUAUGCGGAGGAUGGAGUCAGCGGUGUCAAGCCACAGAGGACUUUUAGAGGCAAAAGGGUACCACGGAAGAAAUUUAAAGCAAGGCUAUGAUAAAUGAUAUUUAGGUUUUAAGAAAAGAGUUCGAGUAGUUUCCUGGGCAAGAGGUGGUGGCCUGAUGUGGGAUGUUAAUUGUUGGGAGACAGAAAAGAGGUUCCAGAUUCAAGAAUCAUGAGGGAAUUAAAUCAAUAGGACAUGGUGAGGAUUAGGUGGGGUGAGGAGAGUGUGGAUCCUGGGGCCUGAGCUUCUUGGAGAAUGGUGUUGUUGCCAUCCAAGACAGACAAUGAGGAAGAACAGGUUUGUGGGGCAAAGGCUGAGCUCAGUUUAGGACAUGCUGAGUUGGAAGUACUAAGGCACAUUGGGUGGAGGUGGCCAAAUGUGCAGAUGAUUGGCUGUGUCUGAAGUCCUGUGGAGAAGCUGGGCUGGUGGUAGAGACUGGGAAGUUCUCAGAAUAGAGGUUCGAAGCUCUAGGGAAAAAUACAGGAGACAAUAAGCCACCAUCACCUGUGGGAACUAGAAGAGCUCUAACAGUGGCACUCUCUGGACCCAGAGGGUGGAUGUUGCCCCUCCAAUGACAGCCAUCCACCUGGCCUGCCUCCGGCAGCUGUAAUGGAGAUGCUCAUACCCUCCCCAGACGGCCACAACAGGGAGCUUGCCAAGGUUUCUCUAUCACUGCGGUGGGCACUGUACAGAUGGAAUCCCACAUGUUGGGCAAAAGAUCAGGAUCCUUUUUGAUCUCCUGCACAGCAAACUCCAGAGCUGCAGCCUGUUGAUAGUUUCUGUGGAGACACUUGCAGUUUAGAGACAAUAUCAUAAUUAAGAACUUUCUUGAAAAUACAACUUGACCUCCAUGUGUCUGUGGGCUGGUUCCUUUUUAAACUUUAAGAUACCAGAAAUUAUGAGAUGUUAUCUCUUCAGACAUUAUAAAUAGUGUUUU
rnacentral:lncRNA from 1 species